CCUACGGGAGGCUGCAGUGGGGAAUAUUGCACAAUGGGCGAAAGCCUGAUGCAGCAACGCCGCGUGAAGGAUGAAGGCCUUUGGGUCGUAAACUUCUGUCCUUGGGGAAGAAAAAAAUGACGGUACCCCUGGAGGAAGUCCCGGCUAACUACGUGCCAGCAGCCGCGGUAAUACGUAGGGGGCGAGCGUUAUCCGGAAUUAUUGGGCGUAAAGAGUACGUAGGUGGUUUUUUAAGCGCAGGGUUUAAGGCGAUGGCUCAACUGUCGUUCGCCCUGUGAACUGGAAGACUUGAGUACAGGAGAGGAAAGCGGAAUUCCUAGUGUAGCGGUGAAAUGCAUAGAUAUUAGGAGGAACACCAGUGGCGAAGGCGGCUUUCUGGACUGUAACUGACACUGAGGUACGAAAGCGUGGGGAGCAAACAGGAUUAGAUACCCCAGUAGUC
rnacentral:rRNA from 1 species